rnacentral:rRNA from 1 species
UUAUGGCUCAGGAUGAACGCUGGCGGCGUGCCUAACACAUGCAAGUCGAGCGGGAAUCAUCUGAUUGAAACUUCGGUAGAUAGAGGAUGAGGAUAGCGGCGGACGGGUGAGUAACGCGUAGGUAACCUGCCCCUUACACGGGGAUAGCCUCGGGAAACUGGGAUUAAUACCUGAUAACGCGGUGAAGUCACAUGGCUUUACCGCCAAAGAUUUAUCGGUGAGGGAUGGACCUGCGUCUGAUUAGCUGGUUGGUGAGGUAACGGCCCACCAAGGCAACGAUCAGUAGCCGACCUGAGAGGGUAAUCGGCCACAUUGGAACUGAGACACGGUCCAAACUCCUACGGGAGGCAGCAGUGGGGAAUAUUGCACAAUGGGCGCAAGCCUGAUUGCAGCAACGCCGCGUGAGCGAAGAAGGUCUUCGGAUCGUAAAGCUCUGUCCUCAGGAACGAAGAAGUGACGGUACCUGAGGAGGAAGCCCCGGCUAACUACGUGCCAGCCGCUGC